UUUAAAAUGAGAGUUUGAUCCUGGCUCAGGACGAACGCUGGCGGCGUGCCUAAUACAUGCA
rnacentral:rRNA from 1 species